rnacentral:lncRNA from 1 species
CUAUACCCCUCAAGAUAGAACCAACCAAUCAAGAGAAAGAAAGGUCAAAUAGAAACUGAGUCUCAAGUGGUGCCAAGCUCAAACACCUGGAUUCCAUCCCUGUCCCAUAAGGCAGAAGGAGAGAACUGAUACCCUCAAGUUGUCAUCUCACCUCCACGUGCAAGCCACGCUGUGUGCAUACUCAUGUGCACAUACACAAUCAAUCAAUC